rnacentral:rRNA from 1 species
AGAGUUCGAUUCUGGCUCAGGAUGAACACUGGCGGCGUGCCUAAUACAUGCAAGUCGAGCGAACAGACGAGGAGCUUGCUCCUUUGACGUUAGCGGCGGACGGGUGAGUAACACGUGGGUAACCUACCUAUAAGACUGGGAUAACUUCGGGAAACCGGAGCUAAUACCGGAUAAUAUUUCGAACCGCAUGGUUCGAUAGUGAAAGAUGGCUUUGCUAUCACUUAUAGAUGGACCUGCGCCGUAUUAGCUAGUUGGUAAGGUAACGGCUUACCAAGGCAACGAUACGUAGCCGACCUGAGAGGGUGAUCGGCCACACUGGAACUGAGACACGGUCCAGACUCCUACGGGAGGCAGCAGUAGGGAAUCUUCCGCAAUGGGCGAAAGCCUGACGGAGCAACGCCGCGUGAGUGAUGAAGGUCUUCGGAUCGUAAAACUCUGUUAUUAGGGAAGAACAAACGUGUAAGUAACUGUGCACGUCUUGACGGUACCUAAUCAGAAAGCCACGGCUAACUACGUGCCAGCAGCCGCGGUAAUACGUAGGUGGCAAGCGUUAUCCGGAAUUAUUGGGCGUAAAGCGCGCGUAGGCGGUUUUUUAAGUCUGAUGUGAAAGCCCACGGCUCAACCGUGGAGGGUCAUUGGAAACUGGAAAACUUGAGUGCAGAAGAGGAAAGUGGAAUUCCAUGUGUAGCGGUGAAAUGCGCAGAGAUAUGGAGGAACACCAGUGGCGAAGGCGACUUUCUGGUCUGUAACUGACGCUGAUGUGCGAAAGCGUGGGGAUCAAACAGGAUUAGAUACCCUGGUAGUCCACGCCGUAAACGAUGAGUGCUAAGUGUUAGGGGGUUUCCGCCCCUUAGUGCUGCAGCUAACGCAUUAAGCACUCCGCCUGGGGAGUACGACCGCAAGGUUGAAACUCAAAGGAAUUGACGGGGACCCGCACAAGCAGUGGAGCGUGUGGUUUAAUUCGAAGCAACGCGAAGAACCUUACCAAAUCUUGACAUCCUUUGACCCUUCUAGAGAUAGAAGUUUCCCCUUCGGGGGACAAAGUGACAGGUGGUGCAUGGUUGUCGUCAGCUCGUGUCGUGAGAUGUUGGGUUAAGUCCCGCAACGAGCGCAACCCUUAAGCUUAGUUGCCAUCAUUAAGUUGGGCACUCUAAGUUGACUGCCGGUGACAAACCGGAGGAAGGUGGGGAUGACGUCAAAUCAUCAUGCCCCUUAUGAUUUGGGCUACACACGUGCUACAAUGGACAAUACAAAGGGCAGCGAAACCGCGAGGUCAAGCAAAUCCCAUAAAGUUGUUCUCAGUUCGGAUUGUAGUCUGCAACUCGACUACAUGAAGCUGGAAUCGCUAGUAAUCGUAGAUCAGCAUGCUACGGUGAAUACGUUCCCGGGUCUUGCACUCACCGCCCGUC